rnacentral:rRNA from 1 species
CAAUAGCGUAUAUUUAAGUUGUUGCAGUUAAAAAGCUCGUAGUCGGAUUUUGGCUGAGAACGAACGGUCCGCCGUUAGGUGUGCACUGUUUGGUCUCAGCUUCCUGGUGAGGAGGUGUGCUUCACGGCCACUUAGUCACCGUGGUUACUUUGAAAAAAUUAGAGUGUUCAAAGCGGGCUUACGCUUGAAUAUAUUAGCAUGGAAUAACACCAUAGGACUCCUGUCCUAUUUCGUUGGUCUCGGGACGGGAGUAAUGAUUAAGAGGAACAGUUGGGGGCAUUCGUAUUUCAUUGUCAGAGGUGAAAUUCUUGGAUUUAUGAAAGACGAACUGCUGCGAAAGCAUUUGCCAAGGAUGUUUUCAUUGA